AUACGUAGGGUGCGAGCGUUGUCCGGAAUUACUGGGCGUAAAGAGCUCGUAGGUGGUUUGUCGCGUCGUCUGUGAAAUUCCGGGGCUUAACUCCGGGCGUGCAGGCGAUACGGGCAUAACUUGAGUACUGUAGGGGAGACUGGAAUUCCUGGUAUAGCGGUGAAAUGCGCAGAUAUCAGGAGGAACACCGGUGGCGAAGGCGGGUCUCUGGGCAGUAACUGACGCUGAGGAGCGAAAGCAUGGGUAGCGAACAGGAUUAGAUACCCUGGUAGUCCAUGCCGUAAACGGUGGGCGCUAGGUGUAGGGGUCUUCCACGACUUCUGUGCCGUAGCUAACGCAUUAAGCGCCCCGCCUGGGGAGCACGGCCGCAAGGCUAAAACUCAAAUGAAUUGACGGGG
rnacentral:rRNA from 1 species